UUUCCGGUUGAUCCUGCCGGAGGUCAUUGCUAUUGGAGUCCGAUUUAGCCAUGCUAGUCGUACGAAUUUAGAUUCGUGGCGAAUAGCUCAGUAACACGUGGCCAAACUACCCUGUCGAUCGCAAUAACCUCGGGAAACUGAGGCUAAUGGCGAAUACGGCUCGAUGCCUGGAACUGGCUCGAGCCCGAAACGCUCCGGCGCGACAGGAUGUGGCUGCGGCCGAUUAGGUUGACGGUGGGGUAACGGCCCACCGUGCCGAUAAUCGGUACGGGUUGUGAGAGCAAGAGCCCGGAGACGGAAUCUGAGACAAGAUUCCGGGCCCUACGGGGCGCAGCAGGCGCGAAACCUUUACACUGCACGAUAGUGCGAUAAGGGGACUCCAAGUGCGAGGGCAUAUAGUCCUCGCUUUUGUGUACCGUAGGAUGGUACACGAAUAAGGGCUGGGCAAGACCGGUGCCAGCCGCCGCGGUAAUACCGGCAGCCCAAGUGAUGACCGCUAUUAUUGGGCCUAAAGCGUCCGUAGCCGGCCGUACAAGUCCGUCGGGAAAUCUACUCGCCUAACGAGUAGACGUCCGGCGGAAACUGUUCGGCUAGGGACCGGAAGAUCUGAGGGGUACGUCUGGGGUAGGAGUGAAAUCCCGUAAUCCUGGACGGACCACCGGUGGCGAAAGCGCCUCAGAAAGACGGAUCCGACGGUGAGGGACGAAAGCUCGGGUCACGAACCGGAUUAGAUACCCGGGUAGUCCGAGCC
rnacentral:rRNA from 1 species